rnacentral:rRNA from 1 species
ACCGGCGCAAGGGUGCGUAACGCGUGAGCAACAUGCCCGUAUCAGGGGAAUAGUCCAGGGAAACUUGGUCUAAUACCCCAUAGUAAAUAUUAAAGGCAUCUUUAAUAUUUUAAAGCUUUGGUGGAUACGGAUUGGCUCGCGUGACAUUAGCUAGAUGGUAAGGUAACGGCUUACCAUGGCUACGAUGUCUAGGGGUUCUGAGAGGAAGAUCCCCCACACUGGAACUGAGACACGGUCCAGACUCCUACGGGAGGCAGCAGUGAGGAAUAUUGGACAAUGGAUGGAAAUCUGAUCCAGCCAUGCCGCGUGCAGGAAGACGGCCCUAUGGGUUGUAAACUGCUUUUAUAUGGGAGCAAUAAGACCUACGUGUAGGUUGAUGAGAGUACCAUAUGAAUAAGCACCGGCUAACUCCGUGCCAGCAGCCGCGGUAAUACGGAGGGUGCAAGCGUUAUCCGGAUUUAUUGGGUUUAAAGGGUGCGUAGGCGGUUUGAUAAGUCAGCGGUGAAAUAUUUCAGCUUAACUGGAAGGGUGCCGUUGAUACUGUCAGGCUUGAAUUUAGUUGCUGUGGGUGGAAUGUGUGGUGUAGCGGUGAAAUGCAUAGAUAUCACACAGAAUAUCGAUUGCGAAGGCAGCUCACAAAGCUAAUAUUGACGCUGAUGCACGAAAGUGUGGGGAUCAAACAGGAUUAGAUACCCUGGUAGUCCACACUGUAAACGAUGAUAACUCGCUGUCGG